rnacentral:rRNA from 1 species
AUUGAACGCUGGCGGCAUGCCUUACACAUGCAAGUCGAACGGCAGCGGGGGAGAAGCUUGCUUUUCCUGCCGGCGAGUGGCGAACGGGUGAGUAAUACAUCGGAACGUGCCCUGUAGCGGGGGAUAACUAGUCGAAAGAUUAGCUAAUACCGCCUACGACAUGAGGGGGAAAGUGGGGGACCGCUAUGCCUCAUCCGCUAGGGGCGGACGAUGUCUGAUUAGCUAGUUGGUGGGGUAAAGGCCUACCAAGGCGACGAUCAGUAGCUGGUCUGAGAGGACGAUCAGCCACACUGGGACUGAGACACGGCCCAGACUCCUACGGGAGGCAGCAGUGGGGAAUUUUGGACAAUGGGCGAAAGCCUGAUCCAGCAAUGCCGCGUGUGCGAAGAAGGCCUUCGGGUUGUAAAGCACUUUUGUCCGGAAAGAAAUGGCUCUGGUUAAUACCUUGGGUCGAUGACGGUACCGGAAGAAUAAGGACCGGCUAACUACGUGCCAGCCGCCGCAGUAACAC